rnacentral:rRNA from 1 species
UAAUACGCAUAAGCGCACAGCUUCGCAUGAAGCGGUGUGAAAAACUCUGGUGGUAUACGAUGGUUCCGCGUCUGAUUAGCUAGUUGGUGGGGUAAUGGCCUACCAAGGCAACGAUCAGUAGCCGGCCUGAGAGGGUGAACGGCCACAUUGGGACUGAGACACGGCCCAAACUCCUACGGGAGGCAGCAG